AUUGAACGCUGGCGGCAGGCUUAACACAUGCAAGUCGAGCGGAGAUGAGGUGCUUGCACCUUAUCUUAGCGGCGGACGGGUGAGUAAUGCUUAGGAAUCUGCCUAUUAGUGGGGGACAACAUUCCGAAAGGAAUGCUAAUACCGCAUACGUCCUACGGGAGAAAGCAGGGGAUCUUCGGACCUUGCGCUAAUAGAUGAGCCUAAGUCGGAUUAGCUAGUUGGUGGGGUAAAGGCCUACCAAGGCGACGAUCUGUAGCGGGUCUGAGAGGAUGAUCCGCCACACUGGGAAUGAGACACGGCCCAGACUCCUACGGGAGGCAGCAGUGGGGAAUAUUGGACAAUGGGGGGAACCCUGAUCCAGCCAUGCCGCGUGUGUGAAGAAGGCCUUAUGGUUGUAAAGCACUUUAAGCGAGGAGGAGGCUACUGAGACUAAUACUCUUGGAUAGCGGACGUUACUCGCAGAAUAAGCACCGGCUAACUCUGUGCCAGCCGCCGCCGUAACAC
rnacentral:rRNA from 1 species